AAUAAUACUGGAUGAGGAGGUUAUCUUAUAAAUAGAAUGAAUAAACACUAAUAUAGAGUAUCUAUACUGAAAGUUGACUUAAUUUACACUGUAAAGGUAUAAUGAUUAAAUAGAAUAAAGAAUAUAUAGCUAUUGUACCUUUUGUAUCAGGGAUAUAGGAAUAGAAUUGAAUUAUGUUUCAUAGUCCCGAAGGAAAUUGAGCUCUUUCUGGUUAGGGGUUAAUGUUUCAAAAUUAUUCUUAAAUCAUAAUGAGAUGUGAAAUGCUAGUCAAAAUUUCUUAUAUCUGGUUGUCUAUUUCUAACCUAUAGGGUAUCGCCAUAAAUAAUUGAAUGAGUGUAAAUCUUUAAGGGAUAAUCUUUAAAGAAUUGAUAGGUUUAAAUUGGUUCAGUAUUGAGAAUUUAACUAUCCUAUUGAAUUUAUCUUAUAACUCCAUAAUUUAGACUAUUUAGAUUAAUUUUAACCCUAAAGAAAUGAUCUAUGUAUUAGUAAAUCGUAUUUAUCCUCUUAAAGGAACUCGGCAAUAGUUAUUUUGAUUGUUUAAUAAAAACAUUUCCUUUUUAAAGAUUAAAAGGUACGACCUGCUCAAUGCUUGUGAUUGUAAAUAGCUGCGGUAUCCUGACCGUACUAAGGUAGCAUAAUAAUUUGUUUCUUAAUUGGAAACUAGAAUGAACGGUCUAACAAAAGUAAAACUGUCUCUAAUAGGAGAUAUUGAAUUUUAUUUUUAAGUGAAAAAGCUUAAAUUACCUAGUAGGACGAGAAGACCCUAUAGAUUUUCAUAGUGAAUUUAACAUUAACCUGUUAGGUCAUUAUUUACCUGGGAAGGGGCUUUAAUAAAACUAAAUUUAAAUUAAAUUAACAUAAUAAGACAAUUUGAUCCCUUAUACUUAAGGAUAGAAAGAAAAAAUACCUUAGGGAUAACAGCAUAAUCUUCUUUCUCAGUUCUUAUGGGAUAAGGAGGCUUAUGACCUCGAUGUUGAAUUAAGUUUUCAUUUAUAAUGUAAAAGGUUAAAUGGUUAGUCUGUUCGACUAUUAAAAACUUACAUGAUUUGAGUUUAGACCGACGUGAGUCAGGUCAGAUUCUAUCCUCUAGCACAUUUAUUAUCUUAGUACGAAAGGAUUAGAUAGUACAUUUUACAUAUAAA
rnacentral:rRNA from 1 species